UUGCCGGGCAUCCUUUUGUACUCUGAACGGCAGUGUUAUUUUAGGCCGCCCCUCCUCCGCAGUGGCCAUUCCCCCCAUUUCAGUUGGCUCCAAGGUACAUCCUAAGCAUUUCUCCCCUCUUUCCACUCCUCACUCGCACAGCUGCUGCUUGAGUUGAGGCUCCCACAGCUCGCUGUCUGGAUCCCUGCUACCCAGAUGGGAGCGGCUGGAGUCUGUCCACGGUGGACGGGGCUCUCUCAAGGCCUCUCUCUGUCCACACGCAGCACCCACCACUGUAUCUGUGGAGAGGAGAGGCGGCCACCUCUGCCUGGUUGGGGAUUGUCUUCCCAAAGUCAGCUGACAGCUUCUUCACCCACCAUCUUGUCAUUUCUCUCCAGAAGAGUACUGCCAUUCCUCUCCACCUGGUGGCAGUGAGAAGAGGCUGGAGAUGAGCGGCGCCAUUCUCUGCCACGGCUCCCGGGUGGCCAUGCGACCAUGAGGGUCAACAGCUGACACACUCACCCCACUCGGCCCCCAUACAACCAUGCGUUUCUCACUUUUGGUACAGUAUUCAAUAAAUCGCAUGAGAUACUCAACA